AGCGGCUAGCUGGGGACCUGCGGGAGUGACGGGCGCGGGCGCAGGGGAGCGCAGCGACAGCGGGACGGUCCAGGCAGCGGAGAGCGCCAUGGCGGAGUGCGCAGGUGCAGGCAGGAAAGCACGAAGCAACCUGGCAAAGGAGAGAUUCCCACGAUCCCAUCCUCCGUUCAUAUGUGAAGAUCUCAUCAAUCAUCACAGUCCCUCUCACAUGCUGUCAGCCUUAUGCUUUAGCUUCACGUUACAGAACAGUGUUGGGAAUCCUGCUCACCUGAGAAGCUGCAGGAAAAAGCUCUAGGAGUGCUUCUAAUUGCUGCUGACCCUGG
rnacentral:lncRNA from 1 species